ensembl:lncRNA
CUCAUAGUGCCUGGAGGGCACAUGAUCAGGUUAAUCUUUCACCAUGGUCUUCCUUGCACAGGAUCUUGCUUCCUUCUCUUUGCACAAUAACCUAUAAAGGCUAACAGAUAAUUGACAAAACGUGCUAAAAGUGUUUAUAAUUUGGAUGGAUUUUCAAGGUUUUUUGACCAGCUUGAUGAGAAGAGAGAAAAGAAAACAGAGACAUGGUCUCUCAGGAGAGGAUAGGACACAGUCCCAUUUCCAUUCCAACCUCACUGUGUGGUGUCUUAAAGCUGUUCUGACAAGCAAGUCUUCCUUGCAGAAGAUGCAAAAAGGUCAUCCCUAUGGAAUUAUCCCAGCCUCUCUCUCUGACAAUUCUGCCUGGCUGAUAUCCAACCGGCCUGUCCAGUCUCUCC